rnacentral:lncRNA from 1 species
UCAAACAACUUUGUGAUACACUCCGCUUUCCAGAUUGGCCAAUUAAAGACCCAGUUAAACUUCUGAAAGACUCCCUUGACGCUUGGAAGAAGGAAGUAGAAAAGAAGCCACCUAUGAUGUCCAUAGACGAUGCUUAUGAAGUGCUUAAUCUGCCCGUAGGCCAGGGGCUGCACGACGAAAGCAAGAUUAGAAAAGCUUACUUCAGACUCGCACAGAAGUACCACCCGGAUAAGAACCCAGAAGGAAGGGUAUGUGCUGCCUCAUCCCAGUACUCCGUAAGAGCAGGCUUAGCCACAGCUGCGGCUCUCUCUGUGUAGAGUUAACUCUAAUGUCUAACUUAUAAUAGUAAUAGGUAGAUAGAUUUUAUUUAACGUCUAACAUAUAAUCAUGAUGGAUAAACUGUCUGUCCUCUCCAUACAGCUUAAAUAAUGUUCAUGGGGUUUAGGUGUCCCUUUGGUUCUUUUUCUUUUUUGUUAUUGUUGUUUUUUGUUUUAUCUUUGUUUUUUUUCCGGAGACAGGGUUUCUCUUGGCAGUUCUGGAACUCACUCUGUAGACU